rnacentral:lncRNA from 1 species
GCAGCACCGUCUCCUGGCCCCCUGGGCUCAAGCACGUCUUUGCCACCUACUCGGGCACGCUGAUGGUGCUGGGCCUGCUGCUCAACGGCCUGGCGCUCUGGGUGUUCUGCCGCCGCAUGCGGCAGUGGACGGAGACCCGCGUCUACAUGACCAACCUGGCCGUGGCCGACCUCUGCCUGCUCUCCUCCCUGCCCUUCGUGCUCUUCUCCCUGCAGCACACCUCCGACACCCCGCUGUGCCAGCUCUCGCAGGGAAUCUACCUGGCCAACAGGUACAUGAGCAUCAGCCUGGUCACGGCCAUCUCCGUGGACCGUUACGUGGCCGUGCGGCACCCGCUGCGUGCCCGAGGGCUGCGCUCCCCGCGGCAGGCUGUGGUGCUGUGUGCGGCGCUCUGGGUCCUGGUCCUAGGCUCCCUGGUGAUCCGCUGGCGCCUGGGGCUGCAGGAGGGCGGCUUCUGCUUCCGGAACUACGCCCGGCACGACUUCAGCAGCAGCACUUUCUCACUACUGGGCUUCUACCUGCCACUGGCUGUGCUGCUGUCCUGCUCCCUGCAGGUGGUGACUGCGCUGGCCCGGAGGCCAGCCUCCGAAGCCGGCCAGGUGGAGGCCACCCACAGGGCUGCCCGCAUGGUCUGGGCCAACCUGGUGGUGUUUGUGGUCUGCUUCCUGCCGCUGCACGUGGUGUUGACGGUGCAGGUGGCCAUGGGCCUGUCCUCCUGUGCAGAGCGCAAGGCCUUCAGCCGGGCCCUCUUCAUCACCAGCAGGCUCUCGGAUGCUAACUGCUGCCUGGACGCCGUCUGCUACUAUUACAUGGCCAAGGACUUCCAGGAGGCCUCCGCGCUGCCCACGCCCGCCGGCACCAAGGCCCACAAGAGCCAGGACUCUCUGAGCCUCGCCCUCACCUAGGGGGCACUCGCUGUGGGCCAGGUCUCAGGGCUCUGGGAGGGGCAGCUUGCCGGGGCACCUGGGGCCAGCGUGGAGCCCCGAGACAGACCCUGGCCUCACCCUGGUCUGUGGGCCCUCUAGGAGGCCAGUGGAAGGGCUGGACCCAGGUCUGCCGAGCCUCGGUGGCUUCGUUGCUAUCCUGGGAAGGGACAGGGACAGCAGCCAGAGGAUGACUCCUGAGGGGGUCAACCCCAAGGACCCUGGGACAGGGACACACAGCUGUCACCCUGGAGCUGACUCCCUUGGGGCACCGGGUGGGGCCUUGACAGCCUGCCUUCUUCUGUGGACCCCCUGGGCGGGGACAAAGCUGUCCGCUGCGGCAGGCUGGCAGGGCCCUCUGUCACUUUCACCCAGUCCUCGCCCUGGGUGGGGCUGCAGUGGCCUGGGUGUCUCCCUCCUUCCCACUCUUCCUCCCAGGCCCCUGCCCCUCUGCUGAGCCUGGUCUUUCUGGCUUGGCGGCCCUGGGGGCUCUUAGGACAUGCUGAAGCCCUCCUGAGGCGCCAGGCCCUGGCUCCGCCCCCCACUCCCCUGCAAAUGCCACCCAGCGCUUGCUGCCUGAUGGACACCCACCCCUCCCUCCCACCGCCCCCUGCAGCCUCUGAGGGGACCUCAGGCAGCCUUGGCUCCAGGCCCGUGGGGUGCGGCCUGCAGCGAGGUCCUGAGGCCCUUUAUGGAGGUGGGGCUCAGCCACUCCCACCAGAGCAUCCACCAGCACCCGGAGCUGCUGCCCAGGCCCAGGGCACCCAUCCCCAGGAGCCCUAGCUUGUUACCACCUGCCAGUCUGCCUCGGACACUCCCCGAGCCCCAUGCCUGCACUGGGCAUGGCCGGGUCACACUGUCCUGGGCAGUGUCAGGUGAGCAGGGCAGGGACAGUGCUAGGCAGCUGGCAAGGCCCUGUCCUGCACUGUCCCCCCUUCCUGUCUGCCGUUUCCUGCUGCAGGUAGCCCUGCCUGUGCCCGGAACAGCACCGCCAGCUUCCCUGGGAUGGGGCCCACCACGUCCACUCCGUGGCCUCACCCUGCCUUGGGCUGAGCUCCCCAUACCCCUUGGUCCCUCCAGAAUCCUUCCCAGCCCUCACAGAAACCCCACCCUCUGGACAUGUAUCCCUGCCCACCGGGUGGGCAGUUUCCCUGACCCUGACCCCCAGACUUACACUUCCAAGAGGCAGGAGGUCCACUGAGGGUCUUGCCCUAGGCUGGGAGUCUGCAGCCUGGCCAGUGGGGCCGAGGGGUCUGCAGGCCCCCUGUUCUGCCUCUCGCCGGGACUGGGGGUCCAGGGGGACAGGCGGACCAGGCUGCAGGCUCAGCUCAGGGAACCAAGGGUGGCAAAGAGCUGCAGGUGAGGGGCCAGGUGGCAGGAGCUUCCAAGAGCCCAGUCCUGAGAGAUGCCUGCAGGGCCACCAUGCACAGGCCUGGGCUGUCCCCCCAGUCACCAGCUGUGCCCAUGGGCUCUGACCACCAGAGCAGAAGGAAGGAGAGCACCGGAGAGGGAGAGUGUGGGCCUCUGUUGUGGCCAGGCUCCCUGCCUGGGUCCCGUCUUGCUGGACACAUGGCCCUCCUUGGCUUCCUUGCCCACACAGGGAGAUUGGGGGAUGGGGGUCUCCAGCUGCUGCACCCCUCAACCCAGCCUUGGCUUGGGGAUGUAGAGCCAAAGCUGCCCGUGUGGAUGCCAUCUCACCCUGGAGCAACCCCUCUGACCUUGGGCAGCAGGGUGACCCCAGGGCCCUGACCACUGGGUGAGCCAGCUUCUGGCGUGGGCAGAAGGCAGUUAGCUGGCUGCCCUCGCCUCUUGCCCCCAAGGCCUGCCUGUGCCUGGUAUCAGCCUGACCUUGGCCUCGCCUCUUGCCCCCAAGGCCUGCCUGUGCCUGGUAUCAGCCUGACCUUGGCCCAAGCCACUGGGAGAUGAUUCAACACACUCACCGAGCAGGCCCCCGGCCUCCACCCUAUGUCCUGCUGUGCACAAGCAGGGGAAAGGAGAGGAGCCUACCGCCCAGCACUGCUGGCCAGGCUGAGGGAGUGCCCCUCAGGUCCGGGUCUGCUCCCCUUGGGUGGUGGCCAGGACGACUUCAGGGUCCAUUGCCUGGACCCCUCCUGGGCCCACCUCAGAUCUGGCUUCCUGGCACUAAGUGCUAAAGCCUGGCCUCCCAGGGUCUGGGGCGGCGUCUUGCUACGAGGGCAGAGUGUGCUCAGACCCCUGUCCUUCCAGCCGGCGUGGGAGCAGGCCUCCGGGUGACUCCCAGGCCCGAAGGGAGUCUCUCUCCAGGAGGCCCCCAAGUCCCCUGCCAGCAGGCGAGGCCUCGUCUCUGUGGCCACAGGGCAGCAAGCCCAGGUCCCCGUCUUCAUGACCUCAGUCCUGGUGUAGGACUCGUGUAGCCCAACCCAGGCUCAACCUUUCCCUGCCAGGGUGCCUGGCGGAGGCUCUGCCUCGCGGUUGGAGGGAGAUUUCCAGAGGCUCCAGGUCCCGGGAGUCGCCUGCUGAGGAUCGGCUCUGGGACCUGGAACUGAGAACACAGGGCCGUAGGGCUGACCGCACCCUGGGCACCCAGUGGCGAUCCUUCCAGUAGCCUGUCCCCUGGGGGGUGCCGCCAGCCAUAGUCCUCCCGAGGGCACGUGUCCCCGGCCGUGUCUGCGGUACCACCUGCUAGACCCAGGGUGCCGCUGAGGAGGACGCGGGGCACACCAUCUGCUGAGAGGACCAGAGGAGUGCGUGUGGAGGACAGGGUCUGAGCACGUGUGGGGCGGGGAGAGGACAGGCAUCCUGCAGGGGCCGAAGGAGCCUGGGCCAGUGCCCGCAGUGGGCGGCAAGGAGUGGUCCUGCCCAUGGGCCAGGAGGGACCUCUGUGGGGGCACCCUGCUCUAGCUUGCCGUCUUGGUCAUGGGCAUUUUGUAAAACUGUUGAUGGCUACUGGGACCCAAAGCCUAGGAGGCAGAGCUGGGCCUCUGCGGGCCCCCCCCACCCCCGUGUUCCCCUGCCCCUCUGCUGGGCCGUCGGGAGCAGCCAGGGAACAGCCAGCUGUGCUGUGGGCCUUCACGGUGGGAACGCUGCUUCCCCAGAGGCCAUCUGCAGAUGGUCGCCCGUGGCUGGGCCGGAGUUAGCUCCUGCUGUCCCCACGGAGGGCGAGUGUGGAACCCUAAGUGGACAGCCGCGGGCAGCAGGUUAGCAGAACAAGCCGACUGAGUCCCCAGAGCAGGCACAGCAGGGCUGCGUCAGCCACCAGGAAACCUUUCCUGUGAAGGGUGCAGAGCAGACUCCAGCUCUCCUUCAGAACUGGGCCUGCUGCCCCGGGAGCGCCAAAGCAGCCGGGGGUUCAGGAGCCGGGGGCGCCGCCCGGUACACCCAGCCGCCCUCCCUCUACAGAAAGAGGCAGCAGUAGGAGGCCCUGAGCUGAGACUGCCGUCUUUCCUUGGGUCUGGCCACCGACAUUCCGCCUCACUCUCUGGCCUAAAUGAGCCUUUUCACCGCAGCAUGAGCUCCCACCCCACCUGACCCCAGCACCGGCCCCGGGGGGCAGCACCAGCUCCUGCCUCAGCCCAGCCACCUGCAGCCAGCUCCCACCAGGUCAGAGGGCACUGAGGUGGCGGCGCAGAGCCCCCAGGACCCCCUCUGGUGAGCGCGGUUUGUUGGCAGAGCCAGAGCGCCUCAGCAGAGCGUCCGGUCACUUAAGCCUAGGGCUGGGCUGGGCUGCAAGGAGAGGCAUCGAGGGCCAAGAGCCAGCCACCGACAGGCUGCCACGGGAGGUGUCUCCAGGAAGUGCUGUUCAUCGGGCAAGGGCCCAGGCCUGGGGGGCUGUCCGAAGGGGAGCAGAGAGGGGAGGUGGGCUGCGCCAGUAGUGGGCCUCCAGGACCUCUGAGCUCUGUGUCCUGGGCCCACAGACACCAGUCGCCCCUGGCGAGGGGCUGGCCGGGGGCUGGUGAGCUCCUGGCGAGGGACAACAGGGCCCGUCCUUCAGGUCUGCAUCUUGGUGGGUGAGGAGGUGGCAGGACUGCAGGCAGGGAGGUCUCGUGACCUCGAGGACGCUUGCCAAGGCAGGCGCCUGCAGGGGCCUAAAGCUCAGUGGCAUGGUGGCUGACGAGGACAUGGUGGCAGAUGUCUCCAGGCCCCGAGAAGCCACUGGACCCGGCUCUGCCUGGCCAGGUGAGCUUCUGGCUGCAGAGGGGUGCGACCUGGAGGUGAGGACGGAAGGGAUCAGGUGGCUAGGGUGCUGGUGGAGGUGUGCAGAGGGGGUCCUGAGGGCCCCGGCGCCAGGGAGCCUGUGUUGCUUCCGCAGGGGGUCCUGGGGGCUGAGUCCUCCUUGUGUCCAUGGCCCCUGGGGCCUCCACUCCCAGGCUCACAAGCAUGCAGCUAGAGUGUCAGGCCCUGAGCAGCCCUUGGGGUGGCAAUAGACAUGAUGCGGACUUUGCCAGGGCCCCUCAAACACGGACUGUACCACACUCACCCUCUUUACACUAGAUGCCCGACCUGUCCCACCCCACGUGGGGCAUCUGACAGAGUCCACUUCAGGUCUCCAGGGAAAUGAGGCCAGAACCGGAGCUUCUAGCCAGCCAGGAGGGAUGGUGCACACCUGUAAUCCCAAUGACUCAGAGGCUGAGAUAGGGGGGUUGCAAGUUUGAGGCCAGCCUUGGCCACUUUGAGGCCCUAAGCAACUUAGCAAGACCCUGUCUCAAAAAUAAAUAAAUAAAUAAAAAUAAAAAGAGCUGAAGAUGGAGCUCAGUGGUCCCUAAGUUCAAUCCUCAGUAGAACAACAAAAAAGAACCGGAAUUCAAAGUCUCAGGCAGGAGAAGCCUCCACUGUCCCAGCCUGGCUGGACUGAGAUCAGCUCCCUGCCAUUUUGGGGGACCCAGAAAGGUCAGCGGUGGCCAUCAGACUCGGGCCUCCUGGGUGAAACGUGAGUGCAGGGCGGGAGCUCUGCUGUUCUGAGGGCCACAGGCCUGAGUACAGGGCAGGGCCUCUGGCCACAGGCUCAGCCAGACCCAGGGUCACCUCUGCUCCAGGAAGAACCCGAGUCCCUCCCGGGGCCGGAACUUUCUGCAGGGCACUCAAGACACAGAGGCUGAGGAGUGGCGGGGCCACCCUCAGCCAAGAACACACGGCUCAGCCAUCGAUGGCUCCAGCAGGACAGUCUCAGUGCCCUCUGCACACAGAAGCUGCCCCGUUACGAUGGAGAAGCAAUGUGUCACCACGGAGGCCACCAUCCUCCCAGGUCACUUGGCCUCCUUGGGAAGGAGCCUGUGCUCCCCCAAGGGUGGCAGGUGACAAGUCCUGACUGUGCUUUGAGGGUCUAAGGACAGGUGGCCAUCUACCGCUGAGGCCAGGUCUGACCGCAGUCCUACCUGCUGGCAGUGUAGAGGGGUAGACGGCAACCAGGUCACGUGGCAGGCUGGGUUUCCGGGAGCUCCUGUCCCUGGCCACUGCCCCUCGCUUCCUUGAAGGACGCAGAGCUCUAAACUCUCUGCCACAGUCAGCGAGGGUGGGGUGGACAGAGAAGGGUGGGGAGAGCUUGACCUCUGAGGUCGUUCCCGGGCUGGCCUUGGAGUACCCAGGGGCCUGUGCCACCUACAGAAACCCCAUAAAACGUGCUCUGGGAGCCCCAACUCUGCCCGAUAUCACUCAGGGUCGGAGGCAGAGGAGAAGGUUUCCAGGAGACGUGGGAGGCCAGGUGCCUCUCUGGGCUCCACAGGGUUGGGGCUGAGGGCCGGGAGGCAGAGUCCACACGGGCAGGUCUCCAGGGCUGCCAACACACCAGGCCACAAGAGCACCAAACCAAGACGUGCUCUGGCCAACUCCAGCGAGCGGUCCUGCGCCACAGAGGACCGCGAGCCCCCUGUCCACAGCUGCGGACAAGCCCCCAAACUCACUGAGUGCUGCUCCAGGCCUCACUAGCAGACCACGACUCAGAAGGGCCCCAGGAGGCGGCAGGUGGCGUGGGGUUGGCUGUCCCCACCCCGUACAGCAGGCACGGAGGGGACUGUCCACUGGGCAUCUCUCGUCGCCGUCUCUAGGGCAGGCCCAGCUUAGGUGGAGCAGCUGGACCUCCACACAGCAGCAAGACCAGACGGGGAGGCUCGGGGGCGGGUGGCAGCAGGGGAAACAGGGUUUCUGGAUCCCUGGGAGACAACCCUGGAGCACGGGGCAGAGAGGUGUGGGUCUGCUCACAGUGUUUGUGAACCACUUACCAGUAAGAGUCACAUUUAUAUGAUGCAUAUUUACAAAACACUAACCUAAAAUUAUACUUCUGCCAGUCUCCACUUGAGAUGUGUGAUUACUCAGAUCAUAACAAUAAAACCAAAGAGAAAACAUCGAUACUCUUUUAGAAGACAAAACAAAGUUCUCGCUGUGUUUCUGUGUUUUUUGUCCCACUUUCUAGUAUAACAAAGUAUUUUAAUUACCCUUCCUCCAAAUAGAACACCAUGAAAAUACUUGUAGGAGUUGGAUCUCAGUAAC